AAAAAAGUUCAAAAGAACAGGUUUAUUUGAGAUACAAAUCUUUUGUGACAUUAUUAAUGGCUUUACUGCUACUUUUGAUCAAUUGAAUGCAUCCUUGCUGAAUAAUAUUAAUAAUUACUUACCCCAAACUUUUGAAUGGUAGAAUGAUCAUAUUAAAAAUCAGUAUAUUAGAAUGAUUUCUGAAGGAUCGUGUGACACUGAAGACUGGAGUAAUGAUGCUGAAAAUUCAGCUUUGGGUCACAGGAAUAAAUUGCAUUUUACAAUAUAUUAAAAUUGAAAGCAGAUAUUUUAAAUGGUAAUAAUAUUUCACAAUAUUACUGUAUUUACUGUAUGUUUCAUCAAAUAAAUGCAGCCUUGGUGAGCAGAAAGAAAAAGUCUUAAUCUUUACAAACUUUUGACCAGUAGUGUGUAUUUGCCUCCUUGUACUUUUAUUGCAGGCCUGCUUUGAAGAGUGUGUAUUUUUUAGAGAUUCACCCCUCAUUGUGUUUGGCGUCGCGGCUGUACGAGGGUCUUGAACGGGCCUGUGCUGAACUGUGUGAGCUGCACAGAUCGAAAACACAGUCUCAAAGAGUCAAACUGGAGCAAAGUCUCUUGAAAAUGGCCUUGCGACACUGGGACUUGCUUGCUGCUCCUGGCUCAACCUACAGUUCUCAGAUCCAGAGAGAUUUGUUCUCCGAAGGGUUCAUCGAGGACCCUGUCCUGGUAAGAGAACUGGGACUGUCUGUUGUGAGAUCUGCAGAGGAACAGGAGAGGAAGCAAGGCAAAGACAGACAGCUGUUCAUGCUGAAGACGUUCUGCACAUUGCUAGAGCUCGUCACGCUCCGUCAUCGCAUCACUGAAUCAGCAGCAGAGGCACAACACCUGGCCCAAUUAUAUAAAUCAGUGGCCAGGCUGAUGGGCUUUGAUGAAGUUCAUUUGUACCUGCGGCCGGUGCAGUUUGAGUUCGCUGUGCAGAAAGAGAUCCCAAAACAACUUCCUGUGUUCAUCACGGCCCUCCAGGACGACAAACAGAAUGCUGACAGGUUUGUCCCAAACAGCCUGCCUCUCGCUGUUCAGGAGCUAGAUGAGAGUCAUAUUGGCAAAUUUAACUUUCAAUCUAACGAAGGAGUUUUACAGCUCAUGAAUCAGUCCAGCCUGGAGAACCUGCAGGUGGUUCUGGUGUGUCAGGUGGUGCAGAAGAACGCUCUGAUUGGUGCACUUAAACAAACGUCCUUAUGCUGUAUCACAGAGAAGCUGGAUCAGUCUUCAGAUACAGACCUGCUGCAGCACGGAGGAACCACUUCCUCUCAAACCAGGAAACAUGCUUUAGCUACUAGAAACAGGUCUGCACAAAACUGAUCCAGAACAUGUCUAGAUCAUAUUUCACCAUAAGUGUAUUUUGUAUAAAUAAAAUAUGAAAAUUAAAAAAGAAAACAUUAUUUUCUUGACAGCAUAUUUAAAAAAAAUACAGAAAAAAAUAUAGUUUAUGCAUAAAACAAAGACAAAAUGUCUGUCAGUGGGGUGAGAUAAAUAAACUUAAAUUAGAGGUAGAACAAGUUUGUUUUUCGUACCCCAAUGACAAAUAUUUUUUCUUGUUUUAAGCAUAAACUCAUAAUUUUGAUAAUUUUUCCAAGAAAAAAAAAACACUUACAUGUUAAUUACAUUAACAAGUUAAUGUAUUUUGAUUUAAGAAUUAUUAAUUAUUUGUAACAGAAACUAAAGCGAGACUGUUUUUUUAUUAUUAAAAUAAUACAUCCAAAAUAUUUAGAUUUUAAAUACUUCAGUGUUUUACAUCAUGCUAGUGUUUGUUUUUCUGCCUUUAAUUUGUUAAUUUAAAUAAUCAAAAAUAAUUGUAUUCUAUGACUUUUCUUACAGUUCUUAAUCUCUGUCAUAUUCUUGUGCAAAAUACAAUGCAAUUCUUUGUGUAAUUCUCCAAUAUGUAAAGUAAUCAGGAUAUAAAGAAUGGACAUUAAGGCAUGUUUUAUCUGAGUAUUGAAUGAUUGUGUGAAAUGAUUUUGUAAUCCAGGCUUGCAGGCGCUUUUGUGUCCGUUCAGCUGGAGAAAGUGUGUCUUCGAGAUGAAAUGCUGAACACGUUUAUAAAGAAGAAAGAACAGAUGAGUGCACUGAAGUUAAACUCUGUAUGUGAGCAUGAUUUUAUUCGCAAAAUAAAUGGAAAUGUACCUUAGUUUUCAUCCAUCCAUCCUUCUCUCAAUAGGAAGAAGUGGGCAGGAUCAAGAGGAAACUGAUUUUGGAGUUCUGUCACAAGUAUGUUUAGCCAGUAAACAGUGUUUCCCUCUAUUUAUUUUCUAUAAAAUGAGGAAAUGACCCUAACUUUGAUAUUAUGGUGUUCUCUGCAGCAGCAAUGAUUACGUGUCUCUUUCAGAUUUAACAAGCGUAUGUCACAGCAUUGUGUCCGAGGGCAGAUAGUUGCUCUUUGCCACAGUCUCUGCUCACUGCUGGAUGAGGUGCCGCACAUCCGUGACAAUUACUUUGUGAUGGGAACACCCAAUGAAUCCAGAUCAGACCUGCAGUCAGAUGACAGAUUGUGUCCUGAUCCAAGGUGAAGAAAAUACAGACAGAAUGUUCCGAUUUUAUGGAACAGACAACUUUGUGUUAUGUUCAUUUUUAUUGGCCAAACAUUUGGACACUUAUGGACACUGCUUAAUCAAG
rnacentral:lncRNA from 12 species